UCGAGAAUCUUCGGCAAUGGGCGCAAGCCUGACCGAGCGACGCCGCGUGCGAGAUGAAGGCCUUCGGGUUGUAAAUCGCUGUCAGGGGGGAGGAAGUGCCGGUGGGUUCUCCCAUCGGUUUGACCUAUCCUCAGAGGAAGGACGGGCUAAGUUCGUGCCAGCAGCCGCGGUAAGACGAACCGUCCAAACGUUAUUCGGAAUCACUGGGCUUAAAGAGUGCGUAGGCGGUCCGGGAAGUUGGGUGUGAAAGCCCUCGGCUCAACCGAGGAAUUGCGCCCAAAACUUCCGGACUUGAGGGAGACAUAGGUGAGCGGAACUUAGGGUGGAGCGGUGAAAUGCGUUGAGAUCCUAAGGAACACCAGUAGCGAAAGCGGCUCACUGGGUCUCUUCUGACGCUGAGGCACGAAAGCUAGGGGAGCGAAGA
rnacentral:rRNA from 1 species